rnacentral:rRNA from 1 species
UACAGAGACUGCAAGCGUUACUCGGAUUCACUGGGCGUAAAGGGAGCGCAGGCGGACCGGUGUGUCAGAUGUGAAACCCCAGGGCUCAACCCUGGGACUGCGUCUGAAACUGCCGGUCUAGGGACUCGGAGGGGCUAGUGGAAUUCCUGGUGGAGCAGUGAAAUGCGUAGAUAUCAGGAGGAAUACCGAUGGCGAAGGCAGGUCUCUGGGCUGACACUGACGCUCAUGCACGAAAGCGUGGGGAGCAAACAGG